rfam:Colius striatus contig43386, whole genome shotgun sequence.
AGCUUUGUGUAAUGGCAGUAUCUUACUCAAUGAGGUUAACUCAAGGUGCAACUAUUACUAAUUGAAAACUUUUCCCAACAUUCUGCCAUGAAGACUUGAAAUAUUAUGAGGUUUUUAAUGCAACUUGAUCUAGGUGAACCUG